rnacentral:rRNA from 1 species
GGUGAACGCUGGCGGCGUGCCUAAUACAUGCGAGUCGAGCGAACAGACGAGGAGCUUGCUCCUCUGACGUUAGCGGCGGACGGGUGAGUAACACGUGGAUAACCUACCUAUAAGACUGGGAUAACUUCGGGAAACCGGAGCUAAUACCGGAUAAUAUAUUGAACCGCAUGGUUCAAUAGUGAAAGACGGUUUUGCUGUCACUUAUAGAUGGAUCCGCGCCGCAUUAGCUAGUUGGUAAGGUAACGGCUUACCAAGGCAACGAUGCGUAGCCGACCUGAGAGGGUGAUCGGCCACACUGGAACUGAGACACGGUCCAGACUCCUACGGGAGGCAGCAGUAGGGAAUCUUCCGCAAUGGGCGAAAGCCUGACGGAGCAACGCCGCGUGAGUGAUGAAGGUCUUCGGAUCGUAAAACUCUGUUAUUAGGGAAGAACAAAUGUGUAAGUAACUAUGCACGUCUUGACGGUACCUAAUCAGAAAGCCACGGCUAACUACGUG